rnacentral:lncRNA from 1 species
CGUUUCUGCCCAGGCCAUGCCGUGCACUCUCGCGCUGCCUCGGGUGUAUAGACACCUCGGGAAUCAAUCGCAAAACGAUUUUGGAAUCCUGUCGUUCGCCGAAGAGGCAGAAGUCGCGCGACGAGAGAGUCGGCACACUCUUCUGCGCUCUUCUGGGGACGCGCACACAGUUGAGUCGUCUCUGCUGUCUGCAGAGGCGGGGAAGGAAAAACUUUUCUCAGAGAAGCAAACGCGCCAGGUCGCUCUUCGCCAGGUUCCCUCGCUCUGGCUGGCGCUGUUCUCUGCGGGGCCCCCCAAAAGUCUCGUCUGACGCCGCCAGCUGGCGCCACAGGAAUGAACAAUGCUCCACGAGAGACACCACUCUUCUCGAGCUUCUCCAGGAAGACAAAAAGAAUACCGGCACAUUUACAUAUAAACAUAUAUAUAUAUAUAUAUAUGGGAGUGUAUAUGGGAGUGCUGUGACACAUACACUUAGAUGUAUGUACAGAUUCUGAUACAUACACUUAUAUGUAUGUAUAGAUGUGAAAAGUAUAUGAGAACGGCGGGGUUGUUUUGGUGAAGGAUGUAUACAGCAGCAUGUGUACUAGCCUUUCUUGUUUUAUGCGUAUGUGUGGAUGUCUCUCGUACUUUAGACUUCGCAUAUUCUCUGAUUCAAGUUACAAAAUCCCUUUCCCGGAAGAUACAUCUGCGCCGUUCUCCGCUAGAUCUGUUCGCCGUGUCUCCGUUCCAACUUUCCUCUGGGGACUCGCGUCUCACUCGCAGCCUCUCCAAGUGAAUAGUUCAUCCCGAAACGGUGGCCUGUUAGUAUUUGUGUCAUCGACGUCUCGAAUGACCAAAGGCAGUGAAGCUUAUUUACCCUAGCCACACAGAGGAUUGUCUCUCCAAUCACCACCGUUUUUGCUGAGGCGUUACGAAGUGCCUUCUUGUGGCUGGAAAAGGAAACCAAACUACCUCUGAAUUUUGACACUUGGCCGAAGGGUCCUUCCAGAGCGGUUGUUCUGAAGAUGCGUGCAACUAAGCACAGAGAGCCUUAGUCAACAGUCUUUUUGAGUACGCCUGCGGUGACUUUUUUUUUGUGUAUGCCAGUUCACGUAAACCGCGUACUGUACAACUGGAGUGACAGCUAUUUUUACUACCAUUUUUGGGACGUCUGAUUGACUUCAAUAUGUUUACACC